CCUACGGGUGGCAGCAGUGAGGAAUAUUGGUCAAUGGACGAGAGUCUGAACCAGCCAAGUCGCGUGAAGGAAGACUGCCCUAUGGGUUGUAAACUUCUUUUAUAUGGGAAUAAAAUGUCCCACGUGUGGGAUGUUGUAUGUACCAAAUGAAUAAGGAUCGGCUAACUCCGUGCCAGCAGCCGCGGUAAUACGGAGGAUCCGAGCGUUAUCCGGAUUUAUUGGGUUUAAAGGGAGCGUAGGUGGAUUGUUAAGUCAGUUGUGAAAGUUUGCGGCUUAACCGUAAAAUUGCAAUUGAAACUGGCAGUCUUGAGUACAGUAGAGGUAGGCGGAAUUCGUGGUGUAGCGGUGAAAUGCUUAGAUAUGACGAAGAACCCCGAUUGCGAAGGCAGCUUACUAGACUGUGACUGACAUUGAUGCUCGAGAGUGUGGGUAGCAAACAGGAUUAGAUACCCCUGUAGUC
rnacentral:rRNA from 1 species